AACAAAAAUAUUGCAUAUAAAACAAUCCUGAAUAGGAAGAAGCAGUAUGCUGCUUACAUAUAAAACAAUCCUGAACGAGGAAGUAGAAGCAUGCUGCUUCCUCCUAUUCAGGAUUGUUUUAAAUGCAAUUUU